rnacentral:lncRNA from 1 species
CGAAGGGUGAGAGUGUUGAGCCCACAGUUUGGGCCGAUUUUGUAGAAGCUUUUCUUGAUUGAUUCUUUCCUUUAGAGUGGAGGGAAGCCAAAGAAGAAGAAUUCAUGAAUCUUAAAUAGGGGAAAAUGAGUUCCCAGGAGUAUACUCUAAGUUUAACCAACUGGAUCGUUAUGUACUAGAAAUGAUAGGUAAUAUGAGAGCUCGAAUGAGGAAAUUUACAUUCGGC